rnacentral:rRNA from 1 species
AUACGAAGGGGGCUAGCGUUGUUCGGAAUCACUGGGCGUAAAGCGCGCGUAGGUGGAUCAAUUAGUUGAGGGUGAAAUCCCGGGGCUCAACCUCGGAACUGCCUUCAAUACUGUUGAUCUUGAGACCGAGAGAGGUGAGUGGAAUUCCUAGUGUAGAGGUGAAAUUCGUAGAUAUUAGGAAGAACACCAGUGGCGAAGGCGGCUCACUGGCUCGGUACUGACGCUGAGGUGCGAAAGCGUGGGGAGCAAACAGGGUUAGAAACCCCAGUAGUCC